rnacentral:lncRNA from 1 species
AGAAAAUACAAUGUGGAGAGAGGACGUGUUUGUGUGAAACAAACAACGCGAGGUAGAGUCAGAAUGCCCAAACCAGAGCCAUAGACUGGGCACUAUAGAAGAUAAAAAAUGGGACCUGGAGCCCCCAACUCUGUGUGAGAUGAUCCAAGAAAGGUGGGAGAAAGGAGACCAACGUGGAUGGGCAUUGAGCACUUGGUAGGAUUGGCAAAGGAGGAGGGGGAAGGGCAGGGGCUCAGCCUGUGGGCAGAACCCUGGGGAAUGCCAACUUCUACAGGUCGGGCAGGGCAGCGGUUCCAGCCCUGGUGGUUUUGGUCAGCAUCUUUACAGUAAGCCGUGGGGAAGUGUGGAGUUGCUCGAGUGUGGCAGUGCUUUUGGCCUUGAGCCCCACAUGCAGGUCACUUUCAUCAGAACAGGAAAACGAAACAGGCUCCCCUGAAUGAUUUAUGGGAGGGCUUGUGUUUUGGGGAUGUGAUACUGCAAUUUGUGUUAUAGGACCAAGACAUCUGUUUCCAGGGAGGUGCGUUCUCUUACCAUGAGCCUUUCCCACGAGGGAUCUUUUGCCC